rnacentral:rRNA from 1 species
AUUGAACGCUGGCGGCAGGCCUAACACAUGCAAGUCGAGCGGAUGAGGAAAGCUUGCUUUUCAAUUCAGCGGCGGACGGGUGAGUAAUGCCUAGGAAUCUGCCUGUUAGUGGGGGAUAACUCGGGGAAACUCGGGCUAAUACCGCAUACGUCCUACGGGAGAAAGUGGGGGAUCUUCGGACCUCACGCUAACAGAUGAGCCUAGGUCGGAUUAGCUAGUAGGUGAGGUAAUGGCUCACCUAGGCGACGAUCCGUAACUGGUCUGAGAGGAUGAUCAGUCACACUGGAACUGAGACACGGUCCAGACUCCUACGGGAGGCAGCAGUGGGGAAUAUUGGACAAUGGGCGAAAGCCUUAUCCAGCCGUGCCGCGUGUGUGAAGAAGGUCUUCGGAUUGUAAAGCACUUUAAGUUGGGAGGAAGGGUAUUCACCUAAUACGUGGGUACUUUGACGUUACCAACAGAAUAAGCACCGGCUAACUCUGUGCCAGCAGCCGCCGCUGUAA